GAGACAACAAUGGAGAUAAGA
rnacentral:siRNA from 1 species